CAAUAGCGUAUAUUAAAGUUGUUGCAGUUAAAACGCUCGUAGUUGAACAUCUGCCCUUUUCCGGUUAGGUCCGCUCUGCGUGCACCUUCCGAAAUCGGCAUCCGUCUGCGUUGCUUCGCAUUGCAGACCGUUCACUUUGAGGAAAUUAGAGUGUUCAAAGCAGGCUUACGCCUUGAAUACUUCAGCAUGGAAUGAUUGAUAGGACUUCUAUCCUAUCUUGGUUCUAGGGACAGAAGUAAUGGUAAACAGGGUUGGUUGGGGGCAUUCGUACUGAACAGUCAGAGGUGAAAUUCUUAGAUUUGUUCAAGACGAACAACUGCGAAAGCAUUUGCCAAGGACGACCCCAUUAA
rnacentral:rRNA from 1 species